AUUUGAGGGUGAUUUGUAUACUUCUUUCUUGCGAAAAUAGACGCGCGAAAGAGGCCAUUUUGGCCCAGAUCCACCGCGGAGCGCCUUCAGCCCCCACUUCUCCCGAGCGCCGCCCCUGUUUCUCCCCCCACCCCGCGCCGCCGCCCAUCCUCCACCCACCGGCUGCCUCGCCGUCACCCCCCGGCGCCGCCGCCCCUCCCCGUCCUCUAGGAGCAUAGAUCCUCCCCGCCCCCUUCCCGAGCAUGAGGAGCCCCCAGCUAGCCCUCUCAUCGGCGCCGCCGCCCCUCCCUGUCCGCUAGGGUUGAGGUCGCACGGCCAUCUCUCCGCCGGCAGGGCCGACUCCUCCGGCGGCAAGGUGCUCCGGCGUGAAGGUGCUCAGAGGUGCCGCUGCUGAUCUCCUCCUCAUGCAACAACAAGAAGUAACCAGAUGUGCAGUGUAUAUGCAUCAACAAGGAGGCACCUGAACAAUAUUUAUUCAAAGCAAGACGCAAAAUAAAAAAAUGAUGCUCAAGUUAACCUCUCGCUAGGAUUUAAUAAUAUUGUUUCUUCUUGUUAAACUUUAUUUUCGUUCUUUUGUUAGGUUGAUGUACUAAAUAAUUAAAACAUAUGUGAGUUGAUUGUUGUACAGUUUUUGCAUCUGUUGUAUGGAGCUGGGACUUGCUUAGUAAGAGUUGUUAUGUAAUUAUAAGAUCUGAUUCUGUAACACCAAUAAACUUCCUAGAAAUUUGCGUCUUUUCACUGAAUCUAUGAUACUAAAUUGUAUGAUGUUGUAUUUCAUAUAUAUGUUAUACAUACACGUGCAGACUUUACUAGACACAUAUAAUGAGUAGAUAAGUUCAGUCUCCAUUUGUUUCUUUAAGAAGAUGUGCGGUAUGCUGUUGUAUCUCAGUUCUCAUAUACUGUAAUACUCCCUCCGGUAUGCUGUUGUAUCUAUUUUGGAACAGUGGGAGUAUAUAUUAACAGAAAGAAUCAUGUUGUAUUCUUCAGAUUUAUACUGAAGGUGUGUCCCUAUUUUGAUGCAAUUCUUCUUUUUUUACAUAUGAGGAAGCGUUCUGCAGCAAAAAACACGCUCACUGAGCAUGUCGUUAUGGAUUACGUAAUGAAGCAUAGAAAAUGAAGAGGAUAAUCAAGUCGAGAGCCACCGGCGAUGAUGUGUAGUUGCUGGAUGAGCUUCUCAUCCACACCUUGGCUGCAAACCGUGUCUGCAGGUGCAGCAUGGAUCAUAUGAUUAGUUUCAGGGGGCUAAGCGAUGAAGAGGAUAAUCAAGCAGAAUACCGACAACGAGGACAUACAGUGGCUGCGUGUGCUUCUCAUCCACUCCCCCGCUGUAUCCCAUGUCCAGGGUGCAGUGUUCUCAGUCAGGACAAGCAAGCCCAGUGACUCCCACUACGGCUCAUGGCGCUUCGACCUCCUUGCAACAAUGAUCACUCGAGGUUUGCAUUGUGGAUGCCGUUGACGGUGGGCAUACAUGCUACGGUGGAGCUCAUUGCAUGUUUGAGGUUCAUGCUUGGUGUGAACUUGGAACUCAUGCUUUUGUUUGUGAACCUUGUUGGAUAUGUACCUGUGUGGACUUUGGACUCAUGGUCAAUUUGUUAUGGUUGUCAAGUUGUAAUAUAUUGUUGUUGUGAACC